UUGUAGAAAUCAUACCAGGGAAAUAUUAAACCUUUGACUUUUGACAAUGAUAACUGAAUAGUGGGUUAGAUUUUUUGAAAUUUUAAGCAAUAUCAGGACCGUAGAAUAUUUGAAAGAAUUGAUAAGAAAAAGUGUAAGUGUAAAAUUAUGAAAAUUAACUCAGUACAUGCAGACACACAGAUAUACAGCUGCUAAUAGUGUUCUAGAUCUAAGUACAUAUACUUUGUCAUACUAUGUGAAAUCUUUUUUGGGACCUUGAUACAAUUAAGUUAUUUGCUCUGCAAGGUAAUGUAUUGUUAAGUAGGUAAAGAAAUCUAUUCAAGAGUGUUAGAAUGUGACAACUCCAUUUCAUUUGUACUUGGAGUUCCUAUAAAUUAGUUAAUUGUCAUGAAGCACUCUUUAUUAACUUUUCUAAGAUGCAGCUUUCUGUCUCAUAAUUUUAUUUUACUGAGCACUGUUUUUCAGCUAUAUAUUGCAGGCAUUUCAAUCUUGCACACAUUUAUGAAUAGUUUUAGUUUUACAGUAUUGAUCUGUACAGAUGAGAUCAUUCUGAUGCUGUGUACUUUACAUGUCAAGGACAUAUUGUACAAAUUAAAAAUAGUCACAUUAAAAGAACAAAAUAAAUUAUACCACAUAACAUGUAGUAUCCAUAAAACAUGUAUGUUUAUAUUACAAUUAAUUCAUGAUAUAAUAACAUUUCAUUUACCACUUUAAAAAUUAAUUGUUGUCAAAUUCAUUUCUACUCUAGAUCUCCGGCAAUUUGUCUAAACCGCAGAAAAGCUUUAACUGUGUAAAUUGAAAAAAAAUGCUUGAUGACAACAUUGAAUCCCCUCCUUUAACAAUCAUUCCUCAUGAUUCAGAAAAUUUUCAGGAUAACAUUUAAAUAUCAGGUACAUGUAAUAUAUAUUUGAUGUUUAGGAUUUUAACCCAAACUUUCAAAUUAAAAAAUAAUUUAAAUUUUCAGAUCAUUGCAGCCCUUGCAAGAUUUUCCUAAUGAAGAUUCUCAGGAUUACAGAUCCUCUAGCAAGGAGACCAGACAGAUAGAAAUGACCAGAGCAGAGGACACACAGCCCCCCCCCCCCCCCCAAAAAAAAAAUUCACAGUGGACAGGAAGUAAUUUUCACAUGAAAAAUAGAAAGUAAGAAAAAGAACAGAAAGAAAAGAAGAUCCAGUAAAAGUUGUCACUGCUGACUGGUGCAAGAUGGAUAUAGAGAGGGUUUUCUAAAGAUCAUUACUAAAAUCCACAGCAAAUUGCAAGGCUGAGCUACUUUUCAAACUUAUACAAAAGGACAUAAAGAAAUGUGAAUUCGAGGAAACCAAGCUGACAUCAAAUGAGAGAAUAUGAGGGAACAAAUUUUAACAGAAUUUUUUUUAAGCAGAGCAUCUGUUUUCCUUAGAGAAUAUGUGUAUUCUAAAUUGAUUCUAAAUUGAUUUCUUGUAUUUUCAAAAAUGUCACUGUUUAAGUGGAGCAUACAUUCCAAUGUCAUGUUUAUUUCUUUUCUAUAAAGGCAAUAUUAUGAAAAGAA